rnacentral:rRNA from 1 species
UACGUAGGGUGCGAGCGUUAAUCGGAAUUACUGGGCGUAAAGCGUGCGCAGGCGGUUGGCAAAGUCAGCUGUGAAAGCCCCGGGCUUAACCUGGGAAUGGCGGUUGAAACUAGUCGACUCGAAUCUGGCAGAGGGGGUGGAAUUCCACGUGUAGCAGUGAAAUGCGUAGAGGAUGAUGGAGGAACACCGAUGGCGAAGGCAGCCCCC